rnacentral:lncRNA from 1 species
GCCGGAGCAACACCUCCCGGGGCUGUGCUGAAAUUGCUGGUGCGAAGCUUCCAGUAAAUCCCUCUGCCCUUUAGAACCUGUGAGUCAGCCCAGCAAGCUGCUGCCACCGCGUGGCUGGGACCUCAGUGGCUCUGCCGCCACUGCCCCUCCGUGCCGGCCCGCCUCCCCCUGGCUGCCUUCCCACCGCAGGGCACCUGCUCCUCUGGCUCUGCCUGCCUCUCCUCCCUCUGCUCCCUCAGCCCCUCACUGCCCUGGUACCCGCGAUUGUGCCCCAGGCUACCUCGCUCCCUCCAGCCUGGCUCUAAGCCUUUCGUGCCCCCUCGCAGGGCACCGGCUGCAGGAAAUGGAGACAGGACCCCAGCUCAGCGUGCGUCCCGCACAAGCCAUGCCCACGUGUUCCUGUGGGUGCCUCCUGCAAUGCACGCACGGGAUAGGCUCACUCUGCGAGAGCCUCCUGUGCCCAGAGCCGAGCUCCUGAAGGUGAAGCAAGAACAGGACCCUGCAGCUACUGUGCCCCUGGAAGGGCGUGGCCUCCCCCACCCCCUCACUCCCGUCCACCCUGCUGCCGACCACACAAGGACUGAAACUUUGGAGCACGACCUGAAUAAAACUCUCCUGAACAUGCAGGUGCUGGGUGUUCGGUCGCAGGGACAAGAAAGUUAGAGAGCCCUUCCUGGU